rnacentral:rRNA from 1 species
AUUGAACGCUGGCGGCAGGCUUAACACAUGCAAGUCGAGCGAGCGGCGGACGGGUGAGUAAUGUCUGGGAAACUGCCUGAUGGAGGGGGAUAACUACUGGAAACGGUAGCUAAUACCGCAUACUGAUGGAUGGACCCGCGGUGCAUUAGCUAGUUGGUGAGGUAACGGCUCACCAAGGCCACGAUGCAUAGCCGACCUGAGAGGGUGAUCGGCCACACUGGGACUGAGACACGGUCCAGACUCCUACGGGAGGCAGCAGUGGGGAAUAUUGCACAAUGGGCGCAAGCCUGAUGCAGCCAUGCCGCGUGUGUGAAGAAGGCCUUCGGGUUGUAAAGCACUUUCAGCGAGGAGGCGUUACUCGCAGAAGAAGCACCGGCUAACUCCGUGCCAGCAGCCGCGGUAAUUC